AUUGAACGCUGGCGGCAGGCCUAACACAUGCAAGUCGAACGAGAGGCGGACGGGUGAGAAAAGUCUGGGAAACAGCAUGAGGGAGGGGGAGAAAUACUGGAAACGGUAGCUAAUACCGCACACCAUAGAGGGUGCCCAGAUGGGAUUAGCUAGUAGGUGGGGUAACGGCUCACCUAGGCGAGAAUCCCUAGCUGGUCUGAGAGGAUGACCAGCCACACUGGAACUGAGACACGGUCCAGACUCCUACGGUAGGCAGCAGUGGGGAAUAUUGCACAAUGGGCGCAAGCCUGAUGCAGCCAUGCCGCGUGUAUGAAGAAGGCCUUCGGGUUGUAAAGUACUUUCAGCGGGGAGGCGUUACCCGCAGAAGAAGCACCGGCUAACUCCGUGCCAGCAGCCGCGGUAAUAC
rnacentral:rRNA from 1 species